GAGGUAUUGAAUAAGAUUUUAAAUGAGUGCUAAGAGAAUGAUUAAACAAUUAAAAGCUUUCUUUAAUUGAAUAAUUGAAUUUAAUUUUUUAGUGCAAAAGCAAAAAUAAAAAUUAGGGACAAGAAGACCCUAUGAAUUUUUAUUAAAUUUUAUAAAACUUUAUAUAAAAUUUAAUUUAAUUGGGGUGAUGGAAAAAGAAUAAAUAUCUUUUUUUUUAAAAAAAAUUGGUUCCGUUUUUAGCGAUUAAAUGAAAAAAAUACUCUAGGGAAAACAGCGUAAAAA
rnacentral:rRNA from 1 species